rnacentral:rRNA from 1 species
GCAUAUCAAUAAGCGGAGGAAAAGAAACCAACAGGGAUUGCCCCAGUAACGGCGAGUGAAGCGGCAACAGCUCAAAUUUGAAAUCUGGUCCUCGGGUCCGAGUUGUAAUUUGAAGAGGAUGCUUUUGGUGCGGUGCCUUCCGAGUUCCCUGGAACGGGACGCCAUAGAGGGUGAGAGCCCCGUCUGGUUGGAUGCCAAACCUCUGUAAAGCUCCUUCGACGAGUCGAGUAGUUUGGGAAUGCUGCUCAAAAUGGGAGGUAUAUGUCUUCUAAAGCUAAAUAUUGGCCAGAGACCGAUAGCGCACAAGUAGAGUGAUCGAAAGAUGAAAAGCACUUUGAAAAGAGGGUUAAAUAGUACGUGAAAUUGUUGAAAGGGAAGCACUCAUGACCAGACUUGGGCCCGGUGAAUCAUCCAGCGUUCUCGCUGGUGCACUUUGCCGGCCCAGGCCAGCAUCAGUUCGUUGUGGGGGAAAAAGGCUUCGGGAACGUGGCUCCUUCGGGAGUGUUAUAGCCCGUUGCAUAAUACCCUGUGAUGGACUGAGGUUCGCGCUCCGCAAGGAUGCUGGCGUAAUGGUCAUCAGUGACCCGUCUUGAAACACGGACCAAGGAGUCGUCCUCGUAUGCGAGUGUUCGGGUGUCAAACCCCUACGCGUAAUGAAAGUGAACGUAGGUGAGAGCUUCGGCGCAUCACCGACCGAUCCUGAUGUUCUCGGAUGGAUUUGAGUAAGAGCAUACGGGGCCGGACCCGAAAGAAGGUGAACUAUGCCUGUAUAGGGUGAAGCCAGAGGAAACUCUGGUGGAGGCUCGCAGCGGUUUCUGACGUGCAAAUCGAUCGUCAAAUAUGGGCAUGGGGGCGAAAGACUAAUCGAACCUUCUAGUAGCUGGUUUCCGCCGA